rnacentral:tRNA from 1 species
GAUCCCGUGGUCCAAUGGUACGACUCCAGUUCGACAUGCUGGCAACGAUGGUUCAAUUCCAUCCGGGAUCAC